rnacentral:lncRNA from 1 species
UGUCACAAUCUCCUUUGCUUGGCUCCGAAUUAUUGAAUAUAAAUAUUAAAAACAUCGUUCUGCACUAGCUUAAGUAGUUUGAAAGUAAAAUUGUUCUUUACAUAUUUUUUUUUUCUUUUUUAUUUUGAGAGAUAGGUAGCACGCUACCCGCUUCGUUUAUUUCAUUUAGAAAUAAACUUAGCUAGAAAAUGUGAAUCAAUUAGGAUUCGAACUUAGCCGGCAUGAAUGUUUUGAA